GCCCCGGUAGCUCAGUUGGAUAGAGCAGCUGACUUCUAAUCAGCAGGUCGCACGUUCGAGUCGUGCCCGGGGUG
rnacentral:tRNA from 1 species